rnacentral:tRNA from 1 species
GCCCGGGUGGCUCAGUCGGUGAAGCAUCCGACUUCAGCUCCGGUCUUGAUCUCACCAUUCAUGGGUUCGAGCCCCACUUCGGGCU